CAGAGUGACGCCGGAGAGAGAAACGCCAGAAAACGGCGGAAAAAGCGCUCCAUGUGGUUCGGGCUUAGACGCCGGAGAAAGAAACGCCAGAAAACGGCGGAAAAAGCGCUCCAUGUGGUUCGGGCUUCCGAACCACAUGGAGCGCUUUUUCCGCCGUUUUCUGGCGUUUCUCUCUCCGGCGUCACUCUCCGUCG
rnacentral:pre_miRNA from 1 species